UACGUAGGUGGCGAGCGUUGUCCGGAUUUACUGGGCGUAAAGAGCGCGCAGGCGGUCGUUCAAGUCGCGUGUGAAAGCCCCCGGCUCAACUGGGGAGGGUCAUUCGAUACUGAUCGACUCGAAGGCAGGAGAGGGUAGUGGAAUUCCCGGUGUAGUGGUGAAAUGCGUAGAUAUCGGGAGGAACACCAGUGGCGAAGGCGACUACCUGGCCUGUUCUUGACGCUGAGGCGCGAAAGCUAGGGGAGCAAACGGGG
rnacentral:rRNA from 1 species